rnacentral:ncRNA from 1 species
AUCCUAUACAGAUGUAUUCAACGCUAGCCAGUUGAGCAUCUCCCUGUAGGAUGAAGUUUUUAAUAGAAAUCCUAACAACAAUUCUCAUUGUGUGGCUCUACGGGUGUGGCUCUACGGUCGAAAUGGGAUGCGUUAGGGUGGAAUAGGUUAACCGUAAGACCUUGAGUUGAAAAACUCUAAAAUUGAGCUAGAGAUGCGGAGUUCUUCAUUUUCUAGUUACGGUUCU